rnacentral:rRNA from 2 species
CCUACGGGAGGCAGCAGUGGGGAAUAUUGCACAAUGGGCGAAAGCCUGAUGCAGCGACGCCGCGUGAGUGAAGAAGUAUUUCGGUAUGUAAAGCUCUAUCAGCAAGGAAGAAAAUGACGGUACUUGACUAAGAAGCCCCGGCUAACUACGUGCCAGCAGCCGCGGUAAU